GACGCUGGGGUGGUGCGGCGAAAGACGUUCGACGGUUGGGUGUUGUGCUCCGUACGCUUUUGAGUGCUCGGGGCUGGGCGAUGGCUGCAGACCGCGUGUCCAGCUCCGGUUUCUGUCGCUGGGCGAAGCGGCCCGGCAGGGGUCCUGACCGGAGGACAGGGCAACGCGGACACCGGAAAGCACCCCGCCCGGGCGGCGGUCGAGACUGUGUCGCGGCACGUGGUAGGGACCGGUGAAUACCGGUGGAUGACAUACCCUGCAGUAAGCUCUUAACUCUGUUAUACAGUGAGCUACUUCAAACUCUUGUUGGAAAAGGCAAAUAGAAAUGAUGCGACAAUGAGUGAAGUGUUCACUGAGAGGCUUGGAGGAGUCAGGACAACUGAUAAGAUUUGUGAGUGUUGUUGAAGGCUGAGUAGGUGUGACAGGACAAAUGCAUGGAGUCUGUCCAGGUAGAAGGAACAUCAUUGCUGCAGCAAGGAGACAAGAGAAAAACCGAGUGCUGGGUGACAGGUCCACUGGCUUCACAGUCCACCCAUCUGGGAAGAACAGCGCCAGGAUUCUGGUUGGUCGCUUUUCUGGGGAAGCUUACAAGAGGAAGGUUGACGUGAUCUUAGAGCCGCAGCGUUAUUCCCGUCGUAGACUCCCUCCCUCCGGUCGCACCGUUAUGCUGCUGUUCUGGGUUAAAUUUGUUUAAUGUAAAGAGAAGUAAGAAGACUGAGAUGGUGGAUCAUGGAGGGCCUUGCCUCAUAAAUCAGAGCAGGAGUUACCGGUGGACUUGAGUGAUGAGGGUGACAUGAGCAGCCAGGUGACUUAGAGAGGGCCCUCUGACAGCGGACGGCCCCCUGAGACUGCCUGCCCAGCAACUGUACCCCUCCUCCUUGGGCCCCCUCAUCCCCACCCACAAGUAACUUAUGGGUUGCCAUGUUCUCUCAAGACUCUGCCCCGUGACCGCAGUCAUCCCAAGCGGCAGAAGGUGUCUGGCCUCAUCGGGGUUGAUGAUUUUCUCCCCCAGGAUGGCUUCAGGAUGAGACCGUGGGCAGCAGGUGGAAAAACAGAAAAAUAGCAACGAUGGCUUUCAAGACCCUGGAUCCAGUUGUUCCUGAGCCCAGCUGUCCUCCCUCCACUGCACGGAGUCCACCACUCUCAAGGCAGUGGCCUGGGGACAGUGACAUUCUGGGCAGGAGGAGAGCCUGAGAUCAAUGCUGGACAUCCUCAGAGGGGCUCCGCUGUGAGACAGGACAUGUGAGAACUGCUCUCUGAACCAGUGGCCACAGGUGGUUCGUUGGGUAUGGGGAAAAAGAGAGUCCAAUUUCCCUUUACGUCUAUCUUUUAGCUAGACAAGGGAAGAAAUUAGAUUUUGCCAAAAUUUAGUAUGUGAGUAUUGAUAGAGGUACGUGGUGUGAUUUGUAAAUAAGUAUCCACAUAUUAGGAUUCAUGUCCAAGAUUUCUUUUACUGAUAGGCAUGGAAAAUAAAGAAGACCCUGGUGUAAAGUA